GCAAAGUUACUGUAUACGUUCUGCACAAGUGGAAAGCUUGAGCUCAAACUGCUGUACAAGGUUCAAGUUCAGUGUUAUGAAGAUACGAAAUUAAUGAAAUUGUUCCCUGAAAUUGUGAGGUCUCUUUACGACCAAGAUGUUCUUGCUGAGGACACUAUACUUCAUUGGUUUCGUAAAGGAACCAACCCAAAAGGAAGGCAAAGCUUUGUGAAGGCAUUGGAGCCAUUUGUGAAGUGGCUGG